rnacentral:rRNA from 1 species
UACGUAGGGGGCUAGCGUUAUCCGGAAUUACUGGGCGUAAAGGGUGCGUAGGCGGGUCUUUAAGUCAGGGGUGAAAUCCUGGAGCUCAACUCCAGAACUGCCUUUGAUACUGAGAAUCUUGAGUUCGGGAGAGGUGAGUGGAACUGCGAGUGUAGAGGUGAAAUUCGUAGAUAUUCGCAAGAACACCAGUGGCGAAGGCGGCUCACUGGCCCGAUACUGACGCUGAGGCACGAAAGCGUGGGGAGCAAACAGG